UUGAAGGCAAUGAUGAUUAGCUAUUUUAUGAAGGAAUAAAAAUUCGUGAUUAAAAAAAUUUCAAUGGAUCCUCUGAGCCUUCA